GGUGGGUACAGCUCAGUGGUAGAGUGCGUGCUUAGCAUGCAUGAGGCCUUGGGAUCAAUCCCCAGUCCCUCCA
rfam:Camelus ferus unplaced genomic scaffold scaffold478, whole genome shotgun sequence.